rnacentral:lncRNA from 1 species
AAUAAAAAAAAAUAGAUUGCUUAGUUGAGGAAAAAAUUGAAGGGAGAGACAGCUGAUGAAUACAAACAACAAAAGGAUCAAAACAUGCAUAAUGAGAGUACUCAACAUAGUUCAAAUUUUCCUCUUUUCGCUUAUCAAAAUGGCAAGUAUAAAUAUGAAAUCUGGAAAAUGCGAAAUAGUUCGUUGUUAUUGUUAUAAUACUUCAUCAAUCUCAAUUUUCACUCUUAGGAAGGAGUAUGAUCUCUUAAAGGAAUCUCCACGAUUGGUAUUUAAAUUCCCCUUGAAUCGUAUGAAGCCUAUAACAACAUUAUGACAUACAUUUUCGAUGUCUCUUUUUGCUCUAUUUUUUCACCACCCCCAAGGAUUCUUCGCUUUAAGAUUCGUCGAAGGGACUCCACUUUUUUUAAGUGUAUUGGAAAGUCGAAAAUGGGGGGCACUGCUCCAUCAAAAACUAACAAGAGUGCACUUAAAUUUGUGCUUAAUGAUGUCAGAGUCUUUGUAGUGCUUAAAAAAUAUCCUUGACCAUUUGGUAUGUCUCCAAUCUUGGCGUCGGCUUUAGAAGCACUGAAUUUUUAGGACAUCUGAAAAUUGAUGGUUAGAAGAAGAUGAUGUCGAUUCAGAAGAGAAGAGUGCUGGAAGUCUUUACUAUGGUAUUAUAUUUUGUCCAAUUUUAUAUGAUGUACUCGUAUGUCUACACUCCUAUCCGUCGAUCGCUAACAACAAAAUUUGGGAUGUGUUUUUUCUGAAUUGUCUCAUUUAUUCACAAGUUUAUCGGAACCGUCCUGAUUAUGAGUUUGCAAAAUUGCAAGAAAUUAUGGAAGCGCUGACUUUUCGACUGGAUUGGAUAUACGUCAGACAUUUACAAGAAAUGGG